rnacentral:rRNA from 1 species
AUUGAACGCUGGCGGCAUGCCUUACACAUGCAAGUCGAACGGUAACAGGUCUUCGGAUGCUGACGAGUGGCGAACGGGUGAGUAAUGCAUCGGAACGUGCCCAGUAGUGGGGGAUAGCACGGCGAAAGCCGGAUUAAUACCGCAUACGACCUGAGGGUGGAAGGGGGGGAUCGCAAGACCUCUCGCUAUUGGAGCGGCCGAUGUCAGAUUAGCUAGUUGGUGGGGUAAAGGCCUACCAAGGCAACGAUCUGUAGUUGGUCUGAGAGGACGACCAGCCACACUGGGACUGAGACACGGCCCAGACUCCUACGGGAGGCAGCAGUGGGGAAUUUUGGACAAUGGGCGCAAGCCUGAUCCAGCAAUGCCGCGUGCAGGAAGAAGGCCUUCGGGUUGUAAACUGCUUUUGUCAGGGAAGAAAUCUUCUGGGUUAAUACCUCGGGAGGAUGACGGUACCUGAAGAAUAAGCACCGGCUAACUACGUGCCAGCAGCCGCAGUAACAC